rnacentral:lncRNA from 1 species
CUAGACCUAUCCAUAACCCUAUCCCAGCCAGUUCUAUUGUGUGAGACAAUCACUCAGCAGCUGUGGCCCAUUUGUAAAAGGGAGUGACCUGCAUGCUUAACUCGUGGCUACGUAAGAGACCAUGUCUACCAGGGGAAUUAGCAGAUCAGCUCACAGAGCAACAGAUGUGGCCCACACCCAUUCGAGGGAGAGAGAAAAAAAAACACAUUGCGCAUGGGUCUCCAACUUAACACCACUGUCAACUUAACAGCAAAGCAGUUGCACAAAUUCAUCAAGAAAAGGGAGUUAACGAAAAACGUAUUGUUUGACUUGGAAUGGGUGAGUUCUGCAUUUCUUGACAUUUAUCGUUUCUAUUAAGGAGUUUGUAUUGGCGUUCUAUGAUAGACUUUGUAAACAAGUUGCACUGUGAGAAGGACAGAGAGAGAAAAGUGAAGAGAACUUCAAGCCAACGUCCAUAAUAUCUGGAUUAAUUCUGUCAUAUCAGUGAUUUUCAGAUUGAGGAAUAAUCCUGACAAUGCAUGUAGUCAUUGGUGUCAUUUGUGUGGUUUUGAAUAGUGAAAUGCCCACUUUGACUGUAUGAGAACAUCUCCACUCUGUUAACUGCGAUAAAAUACUUAACCACCUGAGAUAUUGUACAUGUAAAAGAGGAGGCAGCUAUGUUUCAUUUAAGAAAUAACACGUUCACUAUUUCUCUGCAUUCUGUAAAUCCAGCACUGACUGACAUCAUCAUGAAGGCAUCAACCACAGCAGGUCCGGCAAUAACCAUGACAUCGCCAGAAGCCUUCGAACAAGGAAUCAUUGAGGACGUCACCCGUCUGGUCACACAGAAUUUCACAGAACACUUCACACAACCCUUCAGAGCUGGAGUUCUGACAACAACUUCUGCAGAUAUGACUGAAACAAACUCAGCCGCUUUUUUAGGAGUCAUUUUUGCCCUGUUCCUGGCGCUGCUCCUGGCGUUGCUGAUACUGCGCUACAUUGUCAAGCAUAAGGGCACUUACCACACCAACGAGGCCGACUGUGGUGAUUCCGUAAACAAGUUUGGCGGUGACUCUCAAAGCGAGCAGGUUCAACUAGAGAUUUUGGACAAGGAAGAAUAG